UUUUGUUGUGGUGCUUGUUCACUUCGGCUUCCUUUGUUGAUGGUCUCAAUUGGACCAAGUAAUCAAGGAGAUAUGGACCAUUGAUUAGGUGAAGUUUUAUCAUUUCUUAAUUUGACCGUCACAUGACUAGUCUCGUAGGAUGAAACGUAAAUAGUGAUUUUCUCGAAAGGAUUAUGCUACACGUAUAUUAAGAUGUCCAUAAAGAUGUUAUGAAUACCGCAUCAUGUACAAGUAGCAUAUUCCUUCUUGAAGGGUGUAUAAAGAUAUACUUCUCAAAAAAUUACUUUUUUAUAAUUUCUUAAACUUCGUCAAAAUAAACUAUAAUUUGAGCCUCAUUCUCUUAAACUCAUUUUUCUUCAAAUUCAUUUCAAUUACACAUUCUUCCAAAUAAAUAAUUUUACAUAUAAAUUCAAAAAAAAUCUUAUUUUUUAACUACAUAUUCUCUAAAAAAAAUAUUAUUACAAAACUUAUUUUUCAUAACAAAAUGGAGCUCAAAUAGGGCUAAGUAACUUAUCGGGAAUCCCUUAAAUUAGCCACCAAGCAAUAGCACGAAUGUCGCGUGAGAGAAGUAAAUUUCUGCGGCAGUUCAGAUAACCGUAAAAGUACUCUACUUUAAUGCGCACCUUCAACAACCUGGCGACAGUUUUGCCAUUAUUAGUAGCUAAUUCUAACCUGCGCCGUAUCCUAACAAAAAAAAGUAAUAAUAAUAAUAAAGAAACAGCGGAUGUCACAUUAGUAAAUCUGGGCCAAGUGGAGGGUAAUGUUGUCAAUUCAAUCAAGAUUAAGUCACACACUGAUGCACAACACGAAACUAACUAAAACAAAUUUUUUUAGCUUUUUUACAAAAUAAAAAUAUUUUACGCUUAGACUCAAAAUUUUCUCACUUUUUAAUCAUAUAAUAUCCAAAAAAAUUGCUAAUUAAAAUAUUAUUUUUUCUCUAUAAUGACCAUAAGACUUUAUUUUCUAGCGAAUAGAGGGGUACCAAAUAAAUAUUCCAAUACAAGUUUCAUUUAUAAAGGCUCCAUUUCUUGGUUUCUUUGUGUGUAAUUGCCAGCCUCUUGAAAAUCUCAAGUGAUUCCUUCAUAGACUUGAGACGGACGCAACCGGAAAGUAUAUCACUCGUGAAACGGACAGCCGGCGGUUCGCCAGAGAAAGAUAAAAAUUUGUACUUUUUUUUGCACAGUAAAGAUUCCACCAUGAGCAGUGUACAUAACAGCGUGGAGACUGUAAAUGCUGCAGCAACUGCCAUAGUCACUGCUGAGACCAGAGUCCAACCUUCUACAGUACAGGUAUAUACAUACAUAAAAUCUUGUUUCCCUUGAAUAUGAAAAGGGCUCGACUUGAUACAGUACCAGAGUCCAAAAAGUUUUUCUCAUGUUGAAAAGAAUUUAUGUGUUGUGUUUCUGGGUACCUGGUUGCUUUGUUUAUUGCAAUUCAUUGAAUAAAAAUACUGGGUAUUGUAAAUUUUCUUGAUUUAUGGACAUUAAAUGCGUUUGAAUUAGAAGAAAAAGUGAAAAGAAAAAGGGGAAAAAGAACAAAGCUUUAUUUUUUUUAUGAAUUAUUUUAGUAUUACGCUACAGCUAAAAGAUUGAGUUGUUGACAUGUUUAGUCUGGACAAAUAGCUUAUUAGGCAAUAAUUGAAAGGUACUUUUAUGAGAAAGUGAUGAGAUUAUUUUGAGCAAAAUUAUUUUAAUUUGAAAAUCAAGUUAAUCAAAGCGAGUGUUAAAAGAAUGGCUUUUGAACUCCAAUGGUUUUUCCAUGUUUUUGAUUCCAAUGAUUGGGUUCAUCUGUCUAGUUUCAUUAGAAAAAUCAGAAUGCAGAUUUUGCUUCCACACUCUACAGUUGGGGGAAACCCUGUUUUUGUGAUAGAAAUACACAAUAAAAUCUGGUUUAUUAUAGUGUCCAUUUGUGUCUAAUAUGAGGACCAACAUAGACUUAGUACUUUAGAGUCGUUUUGUCAACAACGGGCAUUAAUGAAAUUAUUCUUGUUCACGAACUUUUUGGAGCAAUGGGAGACUUAAGGGCAGCACCUUUUUGUUGAUUUAUUGGAGUAGAAGAUAUGAAGUUUAUAUAAGUUUUUCUUCCACGGACAAGAGAGGAAAGUGAGCACCAUAGCGUUUAUUUGAAGUUUGUCUUCCACGGAAGAGAGAAAAGUAGCCACCAUAGCGAAGUAACCUUUCUUCAUUUGAUAUGGAACUGAGCAUUAGGGAUCCCAAAAGACUUAUUUAUGCCUACUGUAUGCAAAAUCUUGCCCACAUAAAUAGACUGAUGUAUUUUAGAUUUUAAAACAAAUAGGGUGCUCUGCUCUUAAACAGCAAGGUCUCUUCACAUUCCAGAUGAUCUCAAUUGUUCAUUGCCUAAAUAAGCAUCAUCUAACGGUGAGGCAGGAAAUGCAAAUUGUCAAAUGGUAAAGCUGUUCAAGUGCGAUUCCUAGCACAUCAUGUUAUGAUGAGUUUAAGCUUUUUGCAAAUAUCAGUCUCUUUUAGAAACUAACCUAAAAAGCAAAUAAACACGCUGUAUAUUUCUAAUGUAUUGCGAGAAAAGAGGGAGCUGGGCUUGUGUAUAAUCUUGAAUGAGUAGGGGUGAGUUAGAAUGUGUACUCUUGUUUGCAGGUGAAAGUUUUAAACUUGGAUUAUAAUGUUGAGAUAUGCAGCAUGAAUUUUGGUUUUGCAUCCUAUGAUUUAACAUCUUAAAUCAAUUCAAUGAGUUGACAUAUUCCUAUACUUGUUAUCAUGAUUUUCCUUUUAGAGACAUUUAAAACUAUGGACAAUGCUUGCCGUGGCCAUCCUUUUAAUGGAACUAAUUUAUUAAUUUUUUGUUUUUUCUUCAUUUGCUACAGAAGAGAAGAUGGGGAAGCUUCUGGAGUCUAUCGUGUUUUGGCUCUCACAAACACAGCAAACGAAUUGGUCAUGCUGUCCUUGUUCCUGAACCGUCUGCACCUGCAUCCAUUGCCGNU
rnacentral:lncRNA from 1 species